ACAAUAUCUUCAAGAUCUACUAAAAUAUGUAAUUUUUCGACAUACUAUACUAUGACUUUUUUUCACAAUUGUGAAGUAAAGUUACUUUCUAAAGUGUUGUUACGUGCAGUGAGCCCGGUUCUGCUCUAGGUUUCUACCCGCUAAACGGGGAGGUUUUCCUGGCCACAGCGCACUCCGGUGCAAUGCUCUUGAUGGGAUCUCUUGUUGGGUCUCUAAACUAUAGAGUACGGUCUAAGACCUGCUCUAUAUAUAAAGCGUCUCGAGAUACCUUCUGUUAUGAUUUGACACUAUAAAAAAAUAAAUUGAAUUGAAUUGAAUGAGUGUGCGUGGCUGCAGCUAAACAGCAAUCAGGGCGGAGUAUGAAACAGCAGGAAAACGGAGAAGUGCCCAAGCUGAAAGUAGUUUUUUUUAUUAUUUAUUUUAUUGUAUAAUUACAUCACACUUUCUGUUAGAAAGUAGUUUUCCGUUGGUGUUUGUAAACUUGUGAUCAUUUUUUUAAUAAAUUGUAUAAUUGUUUUGCACAC